rnacentral:rRNA from 1 species
GCGAACGCUGGCGGCAGGCCUAACACCUGCAAGUCGAACGGAUCCUUCGGGAUUAGUGGCGGACGGGUGAGUCACACGUGGGAACGUGCCCUUUGGUUCGGAACAACUCAGGGAAACUUGAGCUAAUACCGGAUGUGCCCUUCGGGGGAAAGAUUUAUCGCCAUUGGAGCGGCCCGCGUCUGAUUAGCUAGUUGGUGAGGUAACGGCCCACCAAGGCGACGAUCAGUAGCUGGUCUGAGAGGAUGAUCAGCCACACUGGGACUGAGACACGGCCCAGACUCCUACGGGAGGCAGCAGUGGGGAAUCUUGCGCAAUGGGCGAAAGCCUGACGCAGCCAUGCCGCGUGAAUGAUGAAGGUCUUAGGAUUGUAAAAUUCUUUCAGCGGGGACGAUAAUGACGGUACCCGCAGAAGAAGCUCCGGCUAACUUCGUG